AACGAACGCUGGCGGCAUGCCUAACACAUGCAAGUCGAACGAGACCUUCGGGUCUAGUGGCGCACGGGUGCGUAACGCGUGGGAACCUGCCCUUAGGUUCGGAAUAACUCCCCGAAAGGGGUGCUAAUACCGGAUAAUGUCUUCGGACCAAAGAUUUAUCGCCUUUGGAUGGGCCCGCGUUGGAUUAGCUAGAUGGUAGGGUAAAAGCCUACCAAGGCGACGAUCCAUAGCUGGUCUGAGAGGAUGAUCGGCCACACUGGGACUGAGACACGGCCCAGACUCCUACGGGAGGCAGCAGUGGGGAAUAUUGGACAAUGGGCGAAAGCCUGAUCCAGCAAUGCCGCGUGAGUGAUGAAGGCCUUAGGGUUGUAAAGCUCUUUUACCCGGGAUGAUAAUGACAGUACCGGGAGAAUAAGCUCCGGCUAACUCCGUG
rnacentral:rRNA from 1 species